rnacentral:rRNA from 1 species
UACGGAGGGUGCAAGCGUUGUUCGGAUUUAUUGGGCGUAAAGCGCGUGUAGGCGGUAUUGUAAGUCUGAUGUGAAAUCCUUGAGCUUAACUCGAGAACUGCAUUGGAUACUGCUUUACUAGAGUGUCGGAGAGGGUACUGGAAUUCCUGGUGUAGAGGUGAAAUUCGUAGAUAUCAGGAAGAACACCGGUGGCGAAGGCGGGUACCUGGACGACUACUGACGCUGAGACGCGAAAGCGUGGGGAG